rnacentral:lncRNA from 1 species
CCAGAGUGCAAGUUCUGGAUAGUUGGUAUCCAUAUUUAUUUUACUACAGCUGACUGAGAAUACUUCCCAUCCUAUAAUAGCAGCUGGCUUUUAAGGCAGUGCAUUUUCAUUUUGAAUCUGCAUUCAGUAAAUAGCAUGAGUAGUUUGGGUCAAAUAAUUAUACUAUGCCUGUAAUAAGGGUACACGCAUGUUGGUGAGCAAACUAUAUAACAAUUUCUAUUUGUCAUUUGAUGCAGUUUGCAUCAUAAGAGCAUAAAAACGAGUACCCAAAGUUCUUCCUUCUACUUAGCAUUCAUCAACUGAGCACCACACUGCAAUGUAAUAUUUUUUUCAUAUGAAUCACACAGCUUAUACUAUCUGGCUUCUUUAUGUCACUAGCUAACUCAUAGAAUAUUUGGAAUCCUUGUAAUAGCAUGUGGCUGCAAUUUAUUUAUUGCAAUUAUAACAAUUAGCAACUGGGAAAAUGUUCUGUACAACGUAUGUGACAUAAUGUCAAAAUCCAGCCUCUUCACAAAUCAAAUGAAAGUUUAAAUAGCACAGCAGUACACAUCUUUCCUGUUUCCCUGUACCUGAAUGGUAUUAUCCAGGAUUGCCACUUUCAACCUGGUGCUUUCCAACAUGUAUUGGAUUAAAAUGCCGGUGUUUGUCUGGGAUGGAGGGAAAAACCUUUGGGGCAGAUUGAAGAGGCUGGCUCAGACCCAGGUUCUUUAAAUUUAUGAGAAACAGGCUCACUUAUUACAGUGUGGCACAUACUGUGAACAUCACGUGUAGUUCACCAGGCCAUAUUCAGACACUUGUCAUUUUGCUGGGCAGGGCCUCCCAAAGCAUUAAGCCUGCAGCAAUUGCACACAUGCUCCAAUCUACAUAUGGGAUACACACGUUCUUACACGGAAGUGACUCUCCUUGUAGGAACUGGAUCAGGUUGCUCCUCUCGUUGGAAGUACAGGGCAGAGUUUCACAAGUCUUGGAAAAGAGAUACCGAGAUGACAGAGGAAAGCUUUCAUGCGUUGCCUUGAAUAUAAAUGGUUGGUAGAAUAGAAUUAAAUAAACGUCAGUUUAGGCUUACUUUCAAUCUUGCUGUGAAUUGUAGAAAGUUAAGUUUUGGGAUAUACUUUAGAGAUCAUCUUGACCAGC